GAAAUGCGAUAAGUAAUGUGAAUUGCAGAAUUCAGUGAAUCAUCGAAUCUUUGAACGCACAUUGCGCCCGCCAGUAUUCUGGCGGGCAUGCCUGUUCGAGCGUCAUUUCAACCAUCAAGCCCCGGGCUUGUGUUGGGGACCUGCGGCUGCCGCAGGCCCUGAAAACCAGUGGUGGGCUCGCUGUCACACCGAGCGUAGUAGAUUCUCAUCUCGCUCAGGGCGUGCUGCGGGUUCCGGCCGUAAAACAGCCUUAUUUUACCCAAGGUUGACCUCGGAUCAGGUAGGAAGACCCGCUGAACUUAAGC
rnacentral:misc_RNA from 1 species